AACGAACGCUGGCGGCAUGCCUAACACAUGCAAGUCGAACGAGACCUUCGGGUCUAGUGGCGCACGGGUGCGUAACGCGUGGGAACCUGCCCUUAGGUUCGGAAUAACUCCCCGAAAGGGGUGCUAAUACCGGAUAAUGUCUUCGGACCAAAGAUUUAUCGCCUUUGGAUGGGCCCGCGUUGGAUUAGCUAGUUGGUAGGGUAAAAGCCUACCAAGGCGACGAUCCAUAGCUGGUCUGAGAGGAUGAUCAGCCACACUGGGACUGAGACACGGCCCAGACUCCUACGGGAGGCAGCAGUGGGGAAUAUUGGACAGUGGGCGAAGGCCUGAUCCAGCAAUGCCGCGUGAGUGAUGAAGGCCUUAGGGUUGUAAAGCUCUUUUACCCGGGAUGAUAAUGACGGUACCGGGAGAAUAAGCUCCGGCUAACUACGUG
rnacentral:rRNA from 1 species